UUUUUCCUCUUCACACACACACAACUGUCGUUCUCUUCUACUAAUCUUCAUUCCUCUCCUUUUCGCAUUUCGCAAGUUCAACCGGCCACCAAAAUGUAAAACCAACAAUUGUCAUUCGCGAGUUAUCGUUGUCUCUCUAUCGUCCGACGCUAACCAAAACGUAACCGGUCUCUUCGUCGUUCAAUCGGCCACCGAAUCGUAACCGGCCUGUUCGUCGUUGUCGCUGAAACGUAAUCGGCCACACUGUGCAUCGUUCAAUCGAAGCCCACGUCGGAACGACGACUGCUGAGUGGUCCCACCCUGUUCGUCCUUCAACCUAAACCCACUUCGAAACCACCCUAAUCGCCAUGUCUGAAAUUGGUAUGACAAUUCAAGGUGUCGUCGGCCUCACCAUUCUUCUUACCAUCCUCUUCUACAACCACGUUUUUGUCCCCGCCGCCAGAAACUUUACAGGCCACCACUCCGAUCUUCUGGUGCUGUGUAUGUUGUUGAACCAACAUUUAUGUUUGGUUUUGAAUACAACAUGGAUGACUGCCAAACCAAAUUCACCAUACCAAGAACAUAAAAGUAAGAACAUAAAAGUAACAACACACGUUAACUUGAAACCAGCAAAUAAAAUUCUCAUAUAUUCAAUUCAAACAGACCUUGGAGAAACCAAAAUCACAGAUCUUCAAGUGUGGGGCUGGAAUUUUCAUGUAUUUUGUUGGUAAAAUAUCCAUUUUCUUCUAGGUCCUCUCUCUUUUUCUCUUAGCAUUUAUAAUUUUAUCUUUCAUUUUUUACUAGAAACUGUUUCAUGAAAUGCUUGUUUAGCAUUAUAAUGUGAUCCACCGCCAUUUUUUUACA